rnacentral:rRNA from 1 species
UACGCAGGUCCCAAGCUUUAUCCGGAUUUAUUGGGUUUAAAGGGUGCGUAGGCGGCUUAUUAAGUCAGUGGUGAAAGCCCCAAGCUUAACUUGGGAACUGCCAUUGAUACUGAUGAGCUUGAGUAGAUUUGAGGCGGGCGGAAUGUGUCGUGUAGCGGUGAAAUGCUUAGAUAUGACACAGAACACCAAUUGCGUAGGCAGCUCGCUAAACUCUUACUGACGCUGAGGCACGAAAGCAUGGGGAUCAAACAGG